AACGAACGCUGGCGGCAUGCCUAACACAUGCAAGUCGAACGAGACCUUCGGGUCUAGUGGCGCACGGGUGCGUAACGCGUGGGAACCUGCCCUUAGGUUCGGAAUAACUCCCCGAAAGGGGUGCUAAUACCGGAUAAUGUCUUCGGACCAAAGAUUUAUCGCCUUUGGAUGGGCCCGCGUUGGAUUAGCUAGUUGGUAGGGUAAAAGCCUACCAAGGCGACGAUCCAUAGCUGGUCUGAGAGGAUGAUCAGCCACACUGGGACUGAGACACGGCCCAGACCCCUAAGGGAGGGAGGAGGGGGGAAAAUUGGAAAAUGGGGCAAAGGCCGACCCAGCCAGGCCGGGGGAGUGAAGAAAGGCUUUGGGGUGGAAAGCCUUUUUUCCCCGGAAGAGAAAGAAAGGUACGGGAGAAAAAGCCCCGGCUAAACCCGGG
rnacentral:rRNA from 1 species